AACUAUUUGAAGGUGGAAUUUUCUCCUCUGUUUCUUCUCCCAAACACUGAGCUCGAGGGCUUCCACCUCCAGAAUUCCCCGGUGUCAGAGCUCGUGUCCCCCUCGUCGUGGCGGUUGCAGAAACCGAACUCUCCCUCGCUAUCAUUUCCGGCUAGGUCUCCGCUGCCGGCGCCGACCAGGUUCAGUUUCUCCCUCUCCCUCUUUGUUUCAAUUUCUCGAUUUCGUUUUCUGAUUCGGGUCCUGAUAAUAUUCACUGGCUCAAGAGAGAACUGAGCAUGUUUUUCGUUCUUGUUUUUUCACUUAUUUCCCUUUGAUGUUGGUUUGAAUCGUUGACGCCUUCGAUUUGCUGAUGGAGUCUGGAGUUUCUGUUUUCAUUGGUAGAGACGAUUUUGGUGGAGUCUGACAAAGUGUUGGGGUUUCUGGUUGAUGAUUGGAGGAAACUUUGAAUCCUGGAGUUUUAAAAGGCUAUUUAGUCUGAUUUAAUUGCCUAAGUUCAUAUAUUCGUGGUUGGAUUAAUGUAGCAUAAUUUUCAUUGUUAUUUUGGUAUUCUGGUUUUGUCUAUCUGAUAGAUGCCUACUGCGUCGUGUAUUUAUGUUUUCUCGGUGCUUAAAGCGUUUCGAAACCAUUUCUUUUGCAGUUAAAAACUAAGGGGAGGAAGAAUUGGUAUCUGAAGUUUAUCAUUUUUGUAUUUGUUGUAUGUCCAUUUUUAUUCUUAUAAAAAUAGUAAGAGUAAAAAAAAAAAAGAAGCAAUGUUUGACUUGAGAGUAUUCCAAAUGGUCAUAAUGUUCUUAACACUGAGUACAUAUCUCUCAUGGAUUAAAUGCCUAUGUUAGCAUACAUGCUUUGUAGACCUAGACACUGUUUUUGUUUCUUUGGAUGUUGAGAAAUUACAGAUGGGAUAAGGAAGCUGCAAUGUCCAGUGAUGGAUUUGCAGGAGCCUCAGCAACCAACCUAAUUGAAAUGCUUUUUGAGAUGGAGAGCAAAGUUUCUGGCCUAUUCUACAUACCAUGGGAACCAGAGGAGUGAUUGGGGACAAGUGGUCCAUGAGAAUUCUUUGGGCUUGUGCUAUUGGAAGUGCUGUCGGCCUGUAUAUGGUUGCUGUAGAAAGGCAAACACAGAACAGGGCGAGGAUGCUGGCUGAAGAACUAAGGGCAACGGAAUCAGGGGGGAGCAAUGGCGAAGACAGCUGAACUAUGUUACGCUAUAUUUUGUGAUAAUUAUGUAGUAUCAUAGAGCAUAUGCCGAGUUUCAGAUUUUCUGAAAGGUGUUUCUCCUUAUGAUUUUAAAGGUUUAAGCAUCCAUUCUCCAUUUCCUAAUAGUAUCGAGAAUUUUACCUUUGGGGAACUAUUCAUGGGGAUUUUCAUUUCAAAUGCGUUAUGGAAAGAAUUGAAAUAAGCUUUGUAACCACAUUUUUAACAUUUUAGCAAAUUAACUAGUCAAGUUACUUUUAAA